rnacentral:lncRNA from 1 species
AGGAUGUUACCUUAACUGACCAAUGUUUUAAUCUCCAAGUUAUAAUUAAUUUGACAAAAUCCUGAAAUAUAAAUGAAAAAUCAGGAAUAAUCCUUAAACAGGUCAGAGAAAUGUCCCUGUAUUAGCUAUAAGUGUCACACCAAUUUAAUAACUCAGAUUACAUAAGAAGACUCUCACCUUGAAUUCCCAUAAAUUUUGUUAAAUGAAAUCCAGUCUGAGGUGUAUUUAAAACAUAUUGAAGUCUUUUUAGUUCUGAUGUAACACCCACUGAUUUCAUUUAAUUGGAAUGUUCCCUUCAACAGUUUCAAAUAAUGUUUGAAGUUCAGCAUUCAGAAUGUGCUGUUAAAACUUUUAACCUCAUAUGAAUUACAAAGAUAUUGAUAAAUGAAUCAGUUUUGCCUGUUAUUCUUUACUUGCUAAAACCUAGGGUAAUUUGUUUAAAACAAAUCUGUAUUUUGAGAAUGACAGUUUUCUGAAUUGAACCUAAAAACUCCAGGUAGGAUAUAUAAAUCCAUAGCCUUGCAAACUCUCCACUGUCCAUUUAUGCAUAUCUAUUCCAUUCUGUCAUAGCUAACGCAAGUACAAAAAAGCUGUCCAUAAGAUUUUGCUAUUUAUUAUGUAGUUGCAAGCUUAAUUUUUCAUGUCUAAACAAAAACUGUAAAAAAUAGUUCUAAAAGACUUGGGAGCUCACUUUUUUUUUUUUUCUUUUGCUUGUUGUUGUUAUUUAAUAGCUGCAUACUUUGUUAAUUGGAGAAGGAAGACAGUAAAAGUAAAUCCACAAUGGAAUAUGGAUGUACAAGAUGUAUUACAUUUUGACUCAGCUUUCAAAAAAAUUACCAGUUUCUAAGAAAUGGAAGUCAUACAGAGUUCUUACCAUUGUUUGAUGGAAGAGUUUCAGCCUAAGAGAAUUUCAGCUGAAGAUACGAAGAUAUGCCACUAAAAUUAACUAACUGGAAGAAAACUUCAGUGACUUCAGUUCCUCCACCCCCCCUACCCCCCAACCCUACCCCCUGAUGUUUUGAAAUACAUCAGAUAUCCUUUAUUCUUUCUAGAAUGUAUU